UUGAUUUCUUUCUUUUUUUUAAAUGUAGAUAAUUAGUGAUCUUUCCUCAUCCUUUAUUCAAUUAAGCAGAUAAAUCUUGGAUUCCACAUAUCUUGUCUACCACUGGAAUACUCCUGAUGUUUUCCCAGAAGCUUUCUUUCUACCAGGUAUUUAUCAUGGCUUAUGCCUAUGUCAUGAUUUGAUCUCCUACCUUCUGCUUCUGCCCCACAUUGCUCUCCUUAUCACCAUUUGUUCUUGUUGUUUUUCUCAGGAUACCAGUUGUGACAGGGGAUGUCACUUGAGACUCAAAGCAUUUUUUUUAAAAGACAGUUUGUCUAUAUAAAAGGUUAUCCCACUCUCCAAAAUAACACAGAAAAAACUGUCUUUUACAGAGAAUGCAUGAAUUGACUUAUACUUAUAUAUAGUUACACUUCUUAAUCUGGUACUUUAAUCAAUUCUUUCCAAAAUAUAUAGAAAGCACCUUCCGUAUGACAUCGGCAUUUCAUGGAGUUGAUGGACAGGGUUGAAAAGAUCACUGAGACAUGAUCUGCUAAAUGAGCUUUAAUCGGCAUAUUAUUUACCAUGUUCAUUAUAAGUAAGAAAGAUUGAGAUCUUUUUUUCUGGUAUGAGCAGAUUUAGUGCUUCUAGAACUAAGAUUAUGCCUCUACCAAGGAAUAGUUCAAAUGUAGUGAAUUAAUAUACAUAAUAUGUUUUAUAUUAGACAGGAGUAAGUACCAGGAAUAAGUGGCUGGCUGUGUUGAUUGAGAUUGUGACCAUAUGUAAGAUGGGCAAUUCUAGAUUUUCAUGAUUUUAAAAUCUUAUUAAAAGACCAUCACAAAUUUGAUAGCUUCCAGUGAUACUAGCAAAGCUUUUCAACCCAGUACCCUACAUUUCAUAGAGCACUUUUGUCUAUUAGUUUUACACAGAGUUGGCAUUCCAUCGAGGAAAAUCUCCAUAGUCUUUCUUUUCUUUGAUUUAAAGGCUGAUAGUAUUCUUCCACAAGGCUUUCUCUAAACACAUUGCACAGAUUCCCUAAGGAUGUGAAUUGUAACACAUUUUCAGUAGUGCAUGGUGUGACAUCAUCAGACUCACACAAGGCUGAUAGUUGAGAACCCAUUCACAAAACAGCAUGGGAAAGCUCAAGCCUUUCAAGGAACCACAAUGUACUUUUGCAAUGUAGCAAAUUGUAAUCCACAGGAGAUGAUGGCAGCCAAAGGAGAAUCUCUUCUUUGUGAGAUUUAGGAAGUAAAGUUAAGGGCUUCACGAUGUAGAAUCUUUUUUUUUUUUCCUUUACAUUAAAAGAACCCUAUAAUUAGUGUUUCUACAGUCAUUGCUGAGAUACUGUUAAGAGAACCAGAUUGGCAGGUUUAAAGGGUAUUUUACUUUCUACAAAUCCUGGGAAGAUACUCUUCCCUGAAUUUUUCACCUCAUGCUUUUACUAGAUGCCAGUUGCAGAGACUAUGUUAUGGCUUGUCUAGGAGAGAAAGGAUAAAUGUGUAAUCCACAUGCUAGUAAGCACUAAACAAUGAAAUAAUAAGCUCCUGGAAGACAGUAAGCAGAUAAGGUAAAGCUCUAACAACUGUUAUAGUGGAACAGUGAUGGUUUCCUAAUAACUAAAGAAAAAACAACCAUAAAGGGAAGGAAGGAUGAGAAAUAUAGGUGGUGGUUGCAAGUAACAUUUAGUAUCUAAGGUGUCAUUUUCCCACCAAGAAUGCAUAUGAAUAAAACCAUUCCCACCACAGCUGAAGUAAUCUGCAAGAGCACUUUGUAGAAGGGAUUCCAUUAAAAAUUGCUUCUAAAAAGACAUUAGCAGAUUUUCUUUCCCUAACUUUGUCAUUUCACAGGUGUAAGAAAUAUAAAUUGUUAUAGUGAUAGCCAGAAGAGAAAUGAUUAAUGAAAUAUUUUUAAUCAGCUAAGAAUGCUGCUUCAGUGACUGUUUUAAGCAGUUUCACAGGGAAAGAUAAUUUUCUUUAAUUAGUAUACUGGCUUUGAAUAAAGGAAGCAACCAGUUUGGUGUUGUUUAGCAUGAACAAAAUAUGUAUAAAAGCAGAUGAAAGAGAUUAACAUGAUAAAGGAAGAAAUUCUCUGCAAGGUAAGGACAGGGAUUUUUCUUGGAUGUUCAUGACUAAUAGUUUCUCCGAAGCCCAGUGAAGAGUGAUUUGUGGUUGGCAUAAUCAUACUGCAGUGAUGCAGGCAUUUUAAAAUUUUUCUACAUAUUUAGGAUUAUGGUUAGUGUUUGUUAAAAACUGCUCAUUUCUCAGUGUGAAUUUGGUUAUUUUGAACGAAAUUUAUAAUUUUUGUUAUAAAAUUAUAAAUUAAAAAUACUGUUUAGACAAUAAAAAAUGAGUGUUACCUGAAUAAGAAGAAUCUGACAAUUCCAUUAACAUAUUUUUUGGCAGAGAUUAUGUAAAAAUUAGAGAUAAUCUCAUUUCCAUUUCUUGCAGGUUCUGAAAAGGUCUAAUUUCUUUUUGGAUGACCCAAUCUUUAGGCAUUAUAUUGCCAGAGAUAUAUAAGUCCCUUCUAAGCUCAUUUGUUGUUGGAAGAAUUUGUUUCCUUGUAUUUAUAGGACUGAAGUCCUGUUCUCUUGCAGACUGCUAACUCAAGAUCACCCUCACCUUCUGGAGGUCACCCCUCUUCAUCAGCAGUCCACAAGUAACUGUCUUGAUUUUUUGUUUUUCUCGAUAAAUAAGCUUCAAAUGAAAUAGGCUUUCGAUGUGACAGUGUUUACAGGAAACAUUAUGCUGUUACGAACUUCCCUUAGAAUCAACCCAUUUGUGAAACACCACAUUAAUAAGAGCAGUAUCUUUGGAGAUUGGAGAGUCCACCAAGGAUGCCCACUGGCUCCCUACAAAGUUUUUUAUGUGAGGACUCGGUCUCAGAUAUGGCUACUGGGAUUCUGUUCAAACUGAGUGAAGACAUCAUCAUCUUUCUUUGAGAUCUUCCUUGCUUUCUGGCCAAAGAAGUUAUUCCCUGACCCGACUUUCCAAAGAGUACUAGUUCCUUUUAGCAGUGAUUAGAAACCUGAUCUGAGUACUACUGUGUGUGCUUGUGACUAGUGUGGUUUUAUUGUUUCUAUGUCCUUUCAGCGAGCAGAUCUACAAUGAGGGAUACAUCUAAACAAAACUCCAUAUUAAUAAGUCCAGUUGAAAUCUAACAACAUAGGGUUCUUUCGCAUUCUCUUGCAUUCCAUAUUUGUAUAUUCGUUCACCCAUGGUGGCAACCCUGGCUAUUAGAAAUAUAAUUGUAUUUAUUUUGCUGUAUCCUACAAUAAAACAAAAAAAUUAAGAAUUACUAUACCAACAUCAUGAUAAAAAUACACAUACUAAGUAAAUCUGUUAUGUAAACUACAAGUGUGUUUGUAGCAUUUUUGUUUUUACACUAUAGCCUACUAAGUGUGCAAUUAGACUUCUUGCUCACUGGUUUCUGUUUACUUUUAAUUUUAGUAUUUACUCUUGUUUCCCUUCCUUUUUAAUUUUAUUUUUAAA
rnacentral:lncRNA from 1 species